GGAGAGAUGGCUCAGCGGUUAAGAGCACUGGCCGCUCUUCCAGAGGACCUGGGUUCAAUUCCCAGCACCC
rnacentral:tRNA from 1 species